rnacentral:rRNA from 1 species
CCCUUAGAUGUUCUGGGCCGCACGCGCGCUACACUGAUGCAUUCAACGAGCCUAUCCUUGACCGACAGGUCCGGGUAAUCUUUGAAUCUGCAUCGUGACGGGGAUAGAUUAUUGCAAUUAUUAAUCUUCAACGAGGAAUGCCUAGUAGGCGCAAGUCAUCAGCUUGCGUCGAUUACGUCCCUGCCCUUUGUACACACCGCCCGUCGCUCCUACCGAUUGGGUGUGCUGGUGAAAUGUUCGGAUCGGCCGUUUGUCGCGGUUUCCGCGUCAUGUGGCUGAGAAGUUCAUUAAACCCUCCCACCUAGAGGAAGGAGAAGUUGUAACA